UACAGAGGUGGCAAGCGUUGUUCGGAAUUACUGGGCGUAAAGGGCGCGUAGGCGGCCUUCUAAGUCUGACGUGAAAUCCCCCGGCUUAACCUGGGAACUGCGUCUGAUACUGGGAGGCUAGAGUGCGGGAGAGGGAUGCGGAAUUCCAGGUGUAGCGGUGAAAUGCGUAGAUAUCUGGAGGAACACCGGUGGCGAAGGCGGCAUCCUGGACCGACACUGACGCUGAGGCGCGAAAGCUAGGGUAGCAAACGGG
rnacentral:rRNA from 1 species